UGCGUAGGGUGCGAGCGUUAAUCGGAAUUACUGGGCGUAAAGCGUGCGCAGGCGGUUUUGUAAGCCAGAUGUGAAAUCCCCGGGCUUAACCUGGGAAUGGCAUUUGGGACUGCAAGGCUUGAGUUUGGCAGAGGAGACUGGAAUUCCUGGUGUAGCAGUGAAAUGCGUAGAUAUCAGGAGGAACACCGAUGGCGAAGGCAGGUCUCUGGGCCGCAACUGACGCUGAGGAGCGAAAGCAUGGGGAGCGAACAGG
rnacentral:rRNA from 1 species